GUCCGCAUGAUGCAGCUGGUCCAAAUGUUGAAAUGUACAUUUGUGUAUUUUUUGACGAUGACUGAAAACUAGCAGAUAGAUGCAUCCCUGAACCAGGAAGCAGACAUAGAUUAACACGAUUAAAACGUUCCUUUAGUUUUCUCAGAAACGCCGGGUCAUGUCGACUCAGGUGCAGAAUCGUCAAUUAGAUGUAAGAUGUUCACAACAUCCAUUAAAGAUAAAGAAGAGGGCAGAUUCUGGCUUCCACGCCCGGUCGGAUUACUUUUCUUUGUAAAGAAAAAAAAAAGAUAAAUGUUUAUCACCAUUUUGUCUUGAUUAGCUGAAGUUAGCGGGUAACCAAAGCAUCACCGGCGGCUGUGGUGACGUGCACACGAGAGACCGUCACCACCAUCACACUGUUCUCACUUACUUUAAUGGAGCUGCUGGGUUUUUACCUUUAUUUGGAGGGUCCAUGUUCACUGUAUCCCCCGUCAGCUGUUUUGUAGCUGACUGUGACCUUUGACCUCCCUGUAGAAGGAGGGUUUGUAAAAAAAAAAUGAAAAAAAAUCUAAAAAGGUGAAUGUAGCCGGGUCACGUGAGAGAAAAUCCAAACACUAAGAUCCACAAACAUAAAGGCUUAACGAGUCUCACGUUCCAUUCAAAUGUUUAUUUUGCUUUGUAAAAAAGAAUCAUGUCCUUCCAGGCUGGUUUCACAGACACUGAACUACUCUUAGACUACAGCUGCUGGACUUACUCCCCCCCCCCCCCCCCCCCCCCCCCCCCCCGUGUAAUAUUAACAUACAGCAGCUUUUAUAAGAAACGUCAUCUUCUGUUUCUGCAGGAGAGCAAGUCGAACGGAGGCUGCGUCAAUACGGGAAGACGAGUCGGCUCAUAGAGAUGAAGUCAAAUACAGGCGUGUUGAAGAGAAACUAACAAAGAUGCAUUCAGAAAGUAGAGUUUACACUUCCUGCUAAAUUAAAGAUUUGAAUCGCAGGUGAACGAGGACUUGAACACCGCUUCCUAAUUCAUGUCUGUGAAACCACCCGGCUCAUUAUUACAAAGCUGGAAGUUAAAUAACAUUCGACAGUUCACAGCUCCUGAACCGAGUGCAAUGAAAUCCACAGGGACGUUUGUUUAAAGAGCAGAAAAUAGGAGAACUGGCUGCUCCUGAAGUCAGAAGCCUGGUCGUUACUAAGUACGUUUUAUGGUGGGGUUUUUAUCUUCUUUCUUUUACUUUCUUAUUUGUAACUAUAGCUCUCUGUAUUCCCAUGUGGACCAAUCUCAUGAGUCAAAACAUGGUAAAUGUGAUCUUUUAUUGUGCAAUAAAAGAUGACUUUCAACUUUUUCUUGUCGUUGGUGAGUAAUUAAUUAAUUGUGAGGAGUAAUGAUCUGCUGUAAUGUCGUUGUUUUGUGUUGGAUUCCAGGAUGGUUGACCUCGAUGACCCUGAAGGGUUCUGGCAGCACGUUCCAUGCGUUGCUCUUGCUUUUGCACAUUGCAUGCUGGGAAAGACUGCGGGAUUGAGCAGAGUUUCUUUUUCUCGUGGAUUUGGAAAAGCCACACAGGACACAGCAGAUUUGUUUCCACUGACGGUAGUUUUGUGCCUGAACCUGCCAUCUAUGGCCGCACAUGACACAUACAGCUACUGUACGUCUUCCACGAGUUCAUCUCCCCAAACACCGGGUACGUUAAAGGGCCAGAGAGUAACACACGUCGGAGAACCUCAAGACACACUA